UCCUCCUUUCUCUAUCUUUCUCUCCACUCUCACGUUCUCUCUCCUCUCCAUUCUCAUCUCCUUUCUCUCUCCUCCUCUCCAUUUUCUUCUCACGCAUCUCUCCUCUCAUCAACACAACAACCACCGGCCACAGCAACCACAGUAACCCACCGAGCAGACCCCACCGAGCAACAACACCGACAACAAACCCACCGAGCAGCCCCCAACACAGAAAACCACCGAGCAUCACCGACUCAGAUCACCGAGCAAGCACCACCAAGCAACAACGCAAUACCAACAAUAACACAGACGAGGCGACACCCACCGAUCACCACCAGCGUUUUUCAGAUCUAAUUUUAUUUUAGGCUGAUUAAUGGUGGUGUAAUGGACGGCAAGCCUAGUUUGCUUGGUGGCAGCGGCAGUGGUGGUGGCGAUGGUAAAGUGGUGGGUGAUUUGUGGUUGAAAAUCGUGUUGAAUAGCUGUAUGAUCCACCAUUACUAUUACCACUAUAUAGGGUCAAUGAAGUUGGGGAAAUCAUGGUGGAAGAAGCUUUUGGUUGCUUAGGUUGUAUUUUGGAUCAUAUUUUGUUUUGGGAUGUUUUGGUUUAUGAGUUCAUACGCUAUUGAAAAAAGGAAAGAAAGCCUUACUAGUAUGUGUGAUGAAAGGGCUAGGAUGUUGCAAGAUCAAUUCAAUGUUAGUAUGAAACUAUGAAUCAUAUUCAAGCUAUGUCCAUAUUAAUUUCCACUUUUCAUCAUGGCAAGUAUCCAUCUGCUAUUGAUCAGGUAUAAAUCUAUCUGAAUUCUAUUUUUUUUAGCUAAUAUUUGAGGAUUUUGUAGCUUCAUUUAUGUAUCUAAUUAGUUUUCUUCCUGAAUAAUUAUGUUAAGAGUAGGAAAUUAGGAAUUAUGGGUGUAUUUAUCAUGUAUGUGGGAAAAAUAGAGAAGUUUUGCAGUGUAUUAUGAUAAAUGAAAAUGAUUAUUUUUUUUGAU